GCGGGUGUGGUGAAAUUGGUAGACGCGCCGGACUCAAAAUCCGGUUCCGCAAGGAGUGUCGGUUCGAGUCCGACCACCCGCA
rnacentral:tRNA from 1 species